rnacentral:lncRNA from 1 species
GUGCUAGCUAUUAUUGAACCCAUCUAAUUUCUUGAUUUUUGCUUAUUUGGAAUUCUGCCCACCAACUGUUUGUGAUAAACACAGUGGGGGUGUUCUGAUUACAUCUGUUGCAGCAGUAAAACCAGUCAUUUUUUUGCAUUAACCCCUGAUGUUUCUGGAUCCGUGUGAGUGAUUAGGUGGUUGCAGAUCAAUUCCAGUUGGUUUAACAUUCUUGGUAGCAUCUUAGGAAGAGGAUUGGUGA